UACGUAGGGGGCGAGCGUUGUCCGGAGUUACUGGGCGUAAAGGGCGCGCAGGCGGUCUGGGAAGUUUGGAGUGACAGUGCUCGGCUUAACUGAGCAAGGCCUUCGAAAACUCUCAGACUUGAGCACUCAAGAGGGACAUAGAAUUCCGGGUGGAGUGGUGAAAUGCGUAGAUAUCCGGAGGAAUACCAAAGGCGAAGGCAGUGUCCUGGGGAGUGUCUGACGCUCAGGCGCGAAAGCUAGGGGAGCGAACAGG
rnacentral:rRNA from 2 species